rnacentral:rRNA from 1 species
CCUACGGGUGGCUGCAGUGGGGAAUAUUGGACAAUGGGCGAAAGCCUGAUCCAGCCAUGCCGCGUGUGUGAAGAAGGCCUUCGGGUUGUAAAGCACUUUCAGUGGGGAAGAAAGCCUUGGGGCUAAUACCCUCGAGGAAGGACAUCACCCACAGAAGAAGCACCGGCUAACUCCGUGCCAGCAGCCGCGGUAAUACGGAGGGUGCGAGCGUUAAUCGGAAUUACUGGGCGUAAAGCGCGCGUAGGCGGUCUGAUAAGCCGGUUGUGAAAGCCCCGGGCUCAACCUGGGAACGGCAUCCGGAACUGUCAGGCUAGAGUGCAGGAGAGGAAGGUAGAACUCCCGGUGUAGCGGUGAAAUGCGUAGAGAUCGGGAGGAAUACCAGUGGCGAAGGCGGCCUUCUGGACUGACACUGACGCUGAGGUGCGAAAGCGUGGGUAGCAAACAGGAUUAGAUACCCGUGUAGUC